UGUCGCUGUCGGCAUCGGCUGUUUGACUGGCGAGGGCCGCGGGAUCGUGGCCCUCGCCAGUCAAACAGCCGAUGCCAUCGGGA
rnacentral:miRNA from 1 species